AUGUUCCAUCAGGAACUCGUGUUUGUGAUAUAAAAUGCGCGCCUGAUAUCCUGCACCUGUGGUCCUCCGGCAGCCCAGGUGAGCCCAGGAGAACCUGGAGCCCAGCGAUGUCGGCCCCAGCUGGAGCCCCACCUGCCUGCACGCGGCUGGGAGUGGCUAUUGGGAGCCGGGCCGCCACCUUGGCGCAGACGCGCACCUAACGUCUUUGCGGGGCUCGCUGGGUCCGAGGUCGGAGGCUGGGAGUGUGGCUGCUGAAGGCUGUGGUGGACCCGGCUGUAUCGCGGAUUCUGGGCUAGAAAGCAGAUUUGGGAUCGCAGAUUGGGGGUUGCUGCUGGGUGGAGGUGGGAGGAGCCGCGGCUCAGGAGCUGGUAGUUGGGGAUCUGAGAAGUCACCAUCUUGAAGAAGUUCCUCCGCUUCGGAGCCCGGGGUCAAGGCAGAGCAGAACCUCGGGUCCUGAGCUCCAUAGACCCCCGUCUACACCGCGUCCGGGCACCGAAUGCGGAACCGCGGAGGAUGCACAGGGCGGCAGUCAGGGGUGACGCCGUGGAGAUGGAGCCGCCUGGCGCGCAGGAGAGGAGACCUGGACGCCCGGGACAAGCCGCACAGACCGAGUCUUGCUCUGUCACCCAGGCUGGAGUGAAAUGGAGUGAUCGCGGCUCACUACUUCCUAUGCCUCCCAGGAUUAAGUGAUUCUUCUGCAUCAACCUCCUGAGUAGCUGGGAUUACAGGUACCUGCCACCAUGCCUGGCUAAUUUUUGGAUUUCUACUAGACACAGUGUUUUCCAAUGUUGGUCAGACCAGUCUUGAACUCCUGACCUCAGGUGAUCCACACGCCUCCACCUCCUAAUAUAUUUGGCUUACAGGCGUGAGCCACCUUGCCUGGCCGGCUUGUAUCCUUGGUGAUCGCUUGGAUAUGGAGGCUGGAGGAGGAGGGGUGUCACACAGAUACCUCUCUUGGAUUACCACUGGGAUAUUAGGUGCAAGGCUCUAUUAUUCGUUCAAACCCUGAGAGCACCAACAAACACCUCGAGGUGGUGUGGAGCAACACGCCGUUUUAAUGAGCACCUGGGUGCAGGUGGGCUGAGGCCUAAAAUGGCGUCAGCCCCAAGUGAGGGCGAGGCAGGGUUUUCUAGAUUCCUGUAAAUGGGAAGUGUUCCAGUGUGACAUACUGCUACGUGGUACCUAGACGGCCUCUGUUUUGAUCUUCAGGGGGUCCUUGUCUUCUGGGCUGCCCUCUUCUGGCUUCUGCUCUCUUGCUGACCCACACUGUGGUACAAGUGGUCUUGUAUCUUGGGACUGGGUCUGAGGAGGGAGGAGUUAUCCCCCCAAGUUUGCA
rnacentral:lncRNA from 1 species